AGUGAACGCUGGCGGUAGGCCUAACACAUGCAAGUCGAACGGCAGCACAGUAAGAGCUUGCUCUUACGGGAGGCGAGUGGCGGACGGGUGAGGAAUACAUCGGAAUCUACUUUUUCGUGGGGGAUAACGUAGGGAAACUUACGCUAAUACCGCAUACGACCUACGGGUGAAAGCAGGGGAUCUUCGGACCUUGCGCGAUUGAGUGAGCCGAUGUCGGAUUAGCUAGUUGGCGGGGUAAAGGCCCACCAAGGCGACGAUCCGUAGCUGGUCUGAGAGGAUGAUCAGCCACACUGGAACUGAGACACGGUCCAGACUCCUACGGGAGGCAGCAGUGGGGAAUAUUGGACAAUGGGCGCAAGCCUGAUCCAGCCAUACCGCGUGGGUGAAGAAGGCCUUCGGGUUGUAAAGCCCUUUUGUUGGGAAAGAAAAGCAGCAGGUUAAUACCCCGCUGUUCUGACGGUACCCAAAGAAUAAGCACCGGCUAACUUCGUG
rnacentral:rRNA from 1 species